GUGUUCACUUCUGCAGCAUAUACAUAUUAUAAUUGGAAUGAUUCAGAGAAGAUUAACAUGGCUUCUGCACAAGGAUGACACAAAUUUGUGAAGCAUUUCAUAAUUUU
ensembl:snRNA U6 U6 spliceosomal RNA